CCCUAAGCUCUCUAAACACUCCCAAGACAGUUCUCUAUCAUUCAAGUUAAGUUUUCAAAGAUUGUGAAGUGAUUCCUCCAUUAAAAGUUCUUAUGAUGCUAGUUUUGACUUGCUUCUUCUCUUGUGUUGAGAAUUUGAGGUUUCUUCAAGAUGAAGCAAGGUGGGAGUGGAUUGUUUUCGUUCAUCUAAGACUAGCAUAUUGGUGAGACGCUUGCGGAAUUGUGAAGAACAACUACGGUUGAAGGUACAGACGCUCGAUUUGGUGAUCCCCCAGCUUAGGAUUCCGUUUCAGCUGUCUUGGAGAGCUCCGUUGUUCCGGAGCCUAGAUUUUGGUACAGACCUUCUGAUAUAUAUAUAUAUGUUUGUCUAGGGGUACGACGGGGUCCUGUCCCGUCAAAUUUCACUGUUGAUACUCUUAGAGGUCUGUAGACAUGUGUGUGGGUUGUGUAUAAGUUCUGUUCAGCUGUGUCUAUACGUUGUGCUAUGUAUAUGUUCGUCUGUAAUGGCAGCCUUGUCGGCUAGCAUAUGACAUGAUAUUGAUGUGUAGUGGCAGCCUUGUCGGCUUGCGGAUCAUUUUAUGACUUGAUCAGUUGUGACUCCUCAGGAGACAGUUUAUCUGGACAUAUAUAUAUGACG